rnacentral:rRNA from 1 species
AAGUCGUAACAAGGUCUCCGUUGGUGAACCAGCGGAGGGAUCAUUACUGAGUACUACACUCUCUACCCUUUGUGAACUAUUAUACCUGUUGCUUCGGCGGCGCCCGCAAGGGUGCCCGCCGGUCUCAUCAGAAUCUCUGUUUUCGAACCCGACGAUACUUCUGAGUGUUCUUAGCGAACUGUCAAAACUUUUAACAACGGAUCUCUUGGCUCCAGCAUCGAUGAAGAACGCAGCGAAACGCGAUAUGUAAUGUGAAUUGCAGAAUUCAGUGAAUCAUCGAAUCUUUGAACGCACAUGGCGCCUUCCAGUAUCCUGGGAGGCAUGCCUGUCCGAGCGUCGUUUCAACCCUCGAGCCCCUGUGGCCCGGCGUUGGGGAUCUGCCACGGCAGGCCCCUAAAACCAGUGGCGGACCCGAAGGGCCCUCUCCUUUGCGCAGUAGCAUUCGCCUCGCAUCGGGAGUCCUCGGCGUCCUGCCUCUAAACCCCCACAAGCCCGCUUCGGCGGCACCAAGGUUGACCUCGGAUCAGGUAGGAAUACCCGCUGAGCUUAA